rnacentral:rRNA from 1 species
ACGAACGCUGGCGGCAGGCCUAACACAUGCAAGUCGAGCGCUACCUUCGGGUGGAGCGGCGGACGGGUUAGUAACGCGUGGGAAUAUACCCAGUUCUAAGGAAUAGCCACUGGAAACGGUGAGUAAUACCGCAUACGCCCUACGGGGAAGGUCUGCCGGAGAAGAGGGCCCGCGUUAGAUUAGCUUGUUGGUAGGUAAAGGCCUACCAAGGCGACGAUCUAUAGCUGGUCUGAGAGGAUGAUCAGCCACACUGGGACUGAGACACGGCCCAGACUCCUACGGAGGCAGCAGUGGGGAAUAUUGG